GCUUCCCUUCAGAAGAAAGAUCGUGAAGUAUUCUUGAAGACAAUAAGUGGCUUGCUACUCCUAUGUGAAAGAUACAAAAAGGGGAGCAGGGGUGGAAUGACACAGGUUGUACAAGAGUUGCUAAAACACUAUCUUCAAGUUGAGACUCAGUUCCAGCAUGGGUCAUAUGAUAAGUGUGUUCAUGCCAUAAGAGAGAGGACAAUGGAUUGACAUGGCCAGUGUAUUGUCAACACUUCUGUCUCAUUCGCAAGUCAUGAAGAAAAAUCAGAUGGUGAUUCUUUUGAUUGAGCACCUUUGUGACCAUGAACCAGGCCUUACGGAUGACUUGGCAUCAAUUUUGGAGCAGCUAACUAAACUGAAUAGUGCCAAGCACUCUAGGGUUGCUCUGCGUGCAAGACAGGUGUUAAUUGCCGCUCAUCAACCAGCCUAUGAACU